GGAGACUGCCAGUGAUAAACUGGAGGAAGGUGGGGAUGACGUCAAGUCAUCAUGGCCCUUACGACCAGGGCUACACACGUGCUACAAUGGCGCAUACAAAGAGAAGCGACCUCGCGAGAGCAAGCGGACCUCAUAAAGUGCGUCGUAGUCCGGAUUGGAGUCUGCAACUCGACUCCAUGAAGUCGGAAUCGCUAGUAAUCGUGGAUCAGAAUGCCACGGUGAAUACGUUCCCGGGCCUU
rnacentral:rRNA from 1 species